rnacentral:rRNA from 1 species
UAGAGUUUGAUCCUGGCUCAGGAUGAACGCUGGCGGCGUGCCUAAUACAUGCAAGUCGAGCGAACNGAUAAGGAGCUUGCUCCUUUGAAGUUAGCGGCGGACGGGUGAGUAACACGUGGGUAACCUACCUAUAAGACUGGAAUAACUUCGGGAAACCGGAGCUAAUGCCGGAUAACAUAUAGAACCGCAUGGUUCUAUAGUGAAAGAUGGUUUUGCUAUCACUUAUAGAUGGACCCGCGCCGUAUUAGCUAGUUGGUAAGGUAAAGGCUUACCAAGGCGACGAUACGUAGCCGACCUGAGAGGGUGAUCGGCCACACUGGAACUGAGACACGGUCCAGACUCCUACGGGAGGCAGCAGUAGGGAAUCUUCCGCAAUGGGCGAAAGCCUGACGGAGCAACGCCGCGUGAGUGAUGAAGGUUUUCGGAUCGUAAAACUCUGUUAUUAGGGAAGAACAAAUGCGUAAGUAACUGUGCGCAUCUUGACGGUACCUAAUCAGAAAGCCACGGC